rnacentral:rRNA from 1 species
GCGACACCAGGUCAGG